rnacentral:ncRNA from 2 species
AGCAUUCACCAGGGGUGUCCCGACAAGGGGCUGAGAUUCUGCUAGGCGGUUUCCGCGGCGCAGUGACCCGUUGAACCUGAUCCAGUUCAUACUGGCGUAGGGACGGUGCAGACAUCGCUGC